rnacentral:rRNA from 1 species
UACGUAGGUCGCAAGCGUUGUCCGGAUUUACUGGGCGUAAAGAGCGCGCAGGCGGCUGGUCAAGUCCGAUGUGAAAUCUCCCGGCUCAACUGGGAAACUGCAUCGGAAACUGAUCGGCUUGAAGAUGGGAGAGGGUAGUGGAAUUCCCGGUGUAGUGGUGAAAUGCGUAGAUAUCAGGAGGAACACCUGCGGUGGUAGACGGCUUA